AGAAAGUGUUGCCUUUAAGGGAGACUCCGUUGCUUUCUCUGCAUCGUGAAUUCUUUUUUUUUAGCCCUCUGCUUUGCAUUCGCGCCACCCACUGGGCUCUUUGGUGGCCUUAUUAAGUUGGCGCCUCUAUGCAACUGCCAUCAGCCGGGAAAGUUUUUCGCAUACCUUCGAUGGUCUCGGUGCAUUCUAUACCCGGUUAGCUGAUUAAUCUUGAAUUAUAUACGAAAAUAAUCAGAAACAGAGAUGUUUUACCUCAGAUAUUUCUGUCUCAAUACAUUUACUGCAGUUUAAAAUUUGGUCAAGUAUUUUUUUGUAGUUCAACUACAAUAAUUUUGAUAGCAAGUAAGGCUCAUUCUGAUUUGUUUAGCCGUUUUAGGUCGAUUGAGUAGGGUAAUCUUUGAUCGACUCCUGUCGAGAGCUCUCCUAUAUAUUUUCACUCGCUCCAGUUUGUUGGCGUUGUCAUCGUUGCAACUUCAUUGUCAAAGUUGGCAAAGAGUCUUGAAGGGAAAGUUGGAGUGGGAAACUACAAAGAAAUGCACAAAAACUGCGUUGUGCAAAUACGGAGAAACGAGAGUGGCGAAAAACGAUGCAGCGGCCUGCCAGUUGGGCGCUAAUUAUAUGUAAAUAGCUGGAACGAAACCGCCGCUCGAGGUGCCAGAUAAUUGGCCCUCAUGCAACUGCCAAGUAUAGUUUACAGCCGAAGUGAUCAAGGGAAACAGUGUGCGAAGGAAAAAUGCUCAAAUUGUCGAGGCGUGACGGAAAUCAACUGCCGACUCUUCUUUACGGCAAAAACUGUUGGUAGAUAGAAUUAGAAAAAUUUAAAUGUGGCUACUUUGAAUGCCAAGGACUUUGGCCAAGUUACCUAACUUGUUACUUAACGUGUCCUAGGCAAUGACUGUUAGCUUAAUUUACGGAAACUUAAAUGGUACCUAAUGCAAUAGCAAUUAGCUCAAAUGCUGGAUGAAAUUCCUUUGCAUUUAGGUCAUUAGAGAAGAAAAAUUUCAUAACACUUUUCGGUGUGCGUGAGAAGGCAUUUUCCACCCCCCGGCCACUUCUUCUCCCCGGAGACAACAUUCAGGACAUAGAACAGCAUUACAAAAUUUCCCCAAAAAAUUCGUAGAAAUGCCAAAAUAAACGAGUGGGUUCGGUGGAAUGAGAUGGCGCAAGGUAAGGAUGUGGAGGAUGCUACCCACAUGAGCGACAGUAACCAACACGUACAAAACGCAUAAACAUUCUUGCCUAAGUGAGUUUGUACAUAAAUUUGGAGCAACUUGCGUUGCAGGAUGCGUUACAAGGAGACGAUUUUGUGUGGGGCUCUCAGGAUCUGUUUAAAGGGAGUGAAGGGGGGGAGACUGAAGCAGACUACUGUGAGUAGAGCUAAACUUACGCAAAAAUCCAUGGGAAACCAACCCCUGGCAAAUGCAACUUUACUUAGGAUGGAUAUCACUCAGCAAUUCGUCUUGUUAGCGUCAGUGUUGAUUCGAAGACAAUUAUUAGCUACCCAACUAUUUAAUACCAAUUACCGAUUACUGGUGUGCAGCUUGAAAGCUGCAAUUGAAAUUAUUCAACGAAUCAUGGCAAUAUCAUUGGCUGUUUGCAUUAUGCAAGCAUACCCGGUCCUUUGAGGCUUGAUGGCAUUUCCCGAGCACCUACACACACGCAGCCGGAAAAGAAGCAACUUUAGUAGCAUAUUUCACGGCGCUGCGUCCGAAGAGAGAGCGCUCUGAAGAGCGCCGCUCAGCGAAGAGAGAAGCCUUGGCAUUGGCAGGCCCCACUGUCCCCUGGUCCCUGGCUUUAUGACUAUGACGGAUAUGAUUGUUGGUCGGAGUGUUCCUUUCCCUUUUCCCUCCUCGAACUUGCCAC